AACUUGAAAUCGCAUCAUAUGACCCCUUUAAGGGUUUCUUUUUGGCCGUGUACUUCAGUAAUUGAAAAAAAAAGACAUUCCCACAUCAAAAUAUGCAUAAUUUACUAUUAUAUAGUAUGCAAUAAGUGUCAAUUGAGUAGGAUGUAGGUAAACGAAUCUCAAAUACAAAAAAAUUCAUU